GCAAAGGCCCGGAGGGCAGGACUGGGAAUUCUGUCCUAGGGGGCAAGGGGAGCUUCUGGGAGGAGGUGACCAGUCCACCGAGCCUGAAAGGAAGACAGCAGCAGUCCUGAGGGCAAGAUCGAUGCCUGAACAGCAGCAAAGCUUCUUGGGACAGCUGACACAGCUGGAGUUCAGGAGGGCAUGGCUGGAAAUGAAACUGGAAGACAAAGGAAGGAUUAGGACAAGCAUCGAGGAGAAGAAGAUCUUGGAACUGAGGUGUGAAGGCAAUGGGCACGUGGAAGUCAGGCGGGAGCAUUAGGAAGCUGAGCAGAACCACAUCGGGCAGUUGAGCGUCGGCUAUGUACGUGGCACCGAGAUGGGUGCAGGGAAAGGGACUGGAAGGAGGCUGACGGAGGCCCUCGCUGCAGAAGCAGCCUGUGCAGAUAUCCUGUGGUGAAGAAAGCCCUGGCCAGAGCUAAUGUGCUGGCAACGAGGAUGGAGGCACCAGCCCAUGAACACAGAAAAACUGCUCCCAAGCAGAGCUUCACAUAGAUAUAGCAAAUAUACACUAAGUUCUCCUUCAGGAGCCAGCUGAGGAAAAGAGCGCCUUCCUUUGUGCAAUGUGCAUACCAUACCCUGAUUUCCAGCUUGGGACUUCACAGGGCCCUCAUCCAUCUGGCUUCAAGCACAGGGAAGCCGGGCAGUGGCCACAUCCCCAUCAGCAUAAUCGCAUGUGUGCGCUCAAACAGGCAAAGCGAACUCACACAGCCCUUGCUUUGCCACGGUUGGGCCGCCAUGGGAAGUGACCCGGACUGAGCUUCCAGGAAACUGUCCAGCCAAGCUUCACAUAAAGCUGAGCUCCUGAGAAGCCUGGGUGUGAGGAAGAGUGGGAAGAGAAUGGCCCCAUGCCUCUGCCCCCUCCCGCAAACCUUCUAUCAUGCCUGUUCACAAGGAGCACAGUGUGGCAUUUAGUAGCAGCUGGGGAAGGGAUUUCUUUUUACUGAGACCUUCUGGACCUUUCAGCAAAUCCUAAUCUCAUAUCAAAAAUAUCCCCAAAGGUAAUUUUUGAAAGGGGGCCCAAAUCAAGAUCCAGAAAGAAGAGUGACCUGUCUAAUAUCACAAAGCUGUUCAGCAAAGACUAGCUCCAGGGCUCCUGAUUCUUGAUUCCAGGCAUUUUCCCGAAGACUCCACAUAAAGCCUCAAGUCUAUUAACCUCUUACUGAGCAUUUACUAUGUGCUGAGCUCUAAAGCAUAAAGUUUUUAAAGAUUAAAACAUGCACACAUGCAGCACUGUAAAAUGGAAGGCUUGGCUCAUUCAGAAUCUUGAAUAUGAUCAUGAUCGAGGUAGAAAUUAAGCCCCGGAGAACUUGUCAUUGCCAG